UGGGGAAUUUUGCACAAUGGGCGCAAGCCUGAUGCAGCGACGCCGCGUGAGGGAUGAAGGCCUUCGGGUUGUAAACCUUUUUCGCUCAUGGUCAAGCCGCAGCUUUGGGUUGUGGUGAGGGUAGUGGGUAAAGAAGCGCCGGCUAACUACGUGCCAGCAGCCGCGGUAAUACGUAGGGCGCGAGCGUUGUCCGGAAUUAUUGGGCGUAAAGGGCUUGUAGGCGGUUGGCCGCGUCUGCCGUGAAAUCCUCUGGCUUAACUGGGGGCGUGCGGUGGGUACGGGUUGACUUGAGUGCGGUAGGGGAGACUGGAAUUCCUGGUGUAGCGGUGGAAUGCGCAGAUAUCAGGAGGAACACCGGUGGCGAAGGCGGGUCUCUGGGCCGUUACUGACGCUGAGGCUCGAAAGCGUGGGGAGCGAACAGG
rnacentral:rRNA from 1 species